UCCGGCUCAGAUUUAAUGCCAGUCGCCAG
rnacentral:piRNA from 1 species